AACGAACGCUGGCGGCGCGUCUUAAGCAUGCAAGUCGGACGGCAAGGGUAGCAAUACCCCUAGAGUGGCGGACUGGUGAGUAACGCGUGGGUGACCUACCCGUGAGAUGGGGAUAGCCAUUAGAAAUAGUGGAUAAUACCGAAUACGCUCGCGAGACUGUGGGUUUGCGAGGAAAUCAGGCUACGGCCUGGCUCGAGGCUGGGCCCGCGUCCCAUUAGCUAGUUGGUGAGGUAAAAGCCGACCAAGGCGACGAGGGGUAUCCGGCUUGAGAGGGUGUACGGACACAUUGGGACUGAGAUACGGCCCAAACUCCUACGGGAGGCAGCAGCUAAGAAUAUUCCGCAAUGGACGAAAGUCUGACGGAGCGACGCCGCGUGGAUGAAGAAGGCCGAAAGGUUGUAAAAUCCUUUUGCUGAUGAAGAAUAAGUGUGGUAGGGAAUGACCGCAUGAUGACAUUAGUCGGUGAAUAAGCCCCGGCUAACUACGUGCCAGCAGCCGCGGUAA
rnacentral:rRNA from 1 species